UCCUACGGGAGGCAGCAGUGGGGAAUCUUGCACAAUGGGGGAAACCCUGAUGCAGCGAUGCCGCGUGAGUGAAGAAGGCCCUUGGGUUGUAAAACUCUUUCGUCGAGGAAGAAAAUGACUGUACUCGAAUAAGAAGGUCCGGCUAACUUCGUGCCAGCAGCCGCGGUAAUACGAAGGGACCUAGCGUAGUUCGGAAUUACUGGGCUUAAAGAGUUCGUAGGUGGUUAAAAAAGUUGAUGGUGAAAUCCCAAGGCUCAACCUUGGAACUGCCAUCAAAACUUUUUAGCUAGAGUAUGAUAGAGGAAAGCGGAAUUUCUAGUGUAGAGGUGAAAUUCGUAGAUAUUAGAAAGAACACCAAAAGCGAAGGCAGCUUUCUGGAUCAUUACUGACACUGAGGAACGAAAGCAUGGGUAGCGAAGAGGAUUAGAUACCCUCGUAGUCCAUGCCGUAAACGAUGUGUGCUAGACGUUGGAAACUUAGUUUUCAGUGUCGCAGCGAAAGCAUUAAGCACACCGCCUGGGGAGUACGACCGCAAGGUUAAAACUCAAAUGAAUUGACGG
rnacentral:rRNA from 1 species